CCGGUGAUGGAUCGGUGCUGAGGGCCGACGACGGGUUUUGGCGGCUCCGUGGAGGGUUCACGACACCGACGAGCAAUCCCAGCAUCCCCAUCGCCACACGCAGCCCCGCGAUGUCAUGGAAUAGGUCCCUGGAACCGGACGAGGACCCACGGCCCGAGCCGGAUGCCGCAACGACGAUGAAUCGGAGCCUUUAUAGUGGUGGAUCUCUGGCAUCGAAGUCCCCUUGGUGAGAAAUUGUGCAGCCACCGGUUCACAGUCCCACCAGGCGAGGCCGUGAUAGACAUCCUGGUGGACCCAGCCAUCCCCACGGCCCGCCCCCGAGGGAUCGACAUCGGCGAGCCGGAGUUUUCCCCCAUGGCGGACAUGAUUCUCUCACUUCCUCCCAUGAUGGUCGGGUAUGGAGGAUUAGAAGUCAGGUGCUAGCUCGAUGGAAGGAAGGGGGGGGUACCGGGACGCAUCAUAUAGGGCCGAGGAGCGCCCAGGUGGGUUUGGGGCACGCCAAACGCGCGAGAUCCGCGCGGCCGGUUCGGGGUUGGGAGGUUGAAGAAGCCCCAGGGACCCACACGCCAUUGCCUUAGGUGCUUUAGAAAGAAGCUGGCGCGUGCACAAUUUCUGGAUUGAGGGGCCGACAUGCGGGCCCCGCACACCAGCGAGAGCAGCUGAGUGCGGUGCCAAGCCGGUUGGGCCAGCAGACUUAAUACAUGGGCCGGCCAAUGCAAAUUAGCCCAAACGCAGGUAUGACCUUUCCUUUUAUAUUUUGCUUUUUCCUAUUUUCUAUCCAAUUUCAAAAUUGAGUUCAAGUUUGCAGUUGAAAUUUUAAUUUUAGUUUUUUUUAAUGCUCAAACAAAAACACCAGUAUAGAAUUUGCUAAUUUAUUUAUCUAAGUAUUGGUUCACAUAUGCAAUACACAAAUAAUUUUGAAUAUGUGAUCAAAGCUAAAAAGUUUAAUUUAGAAGAACAAAAACAACAAAAAAAAUUCAUUAUAUAUAUAUAUAUAUUUGUGAAAGGUAAGGUUCAAUAUAAGGAAUUACCUUAGGUUGGAUAUAUUUCUUUACAAGUAUUUUAUCUAUAUAGUUUAUUCAAAAAGUACUUCUAGUCUUACGAUGAUUAUUUUCUCCCAUUUUUUUUCUUAGAGAACAUUUUUAUUUAGUUCCUGAGAUGAAUUUUCUCUAGAUCCAAAAAUAGGGUUUUAGGGUGCUACAAAUCCUACCCCCCUUAAUCAGAAAUCUCGUCCUCGAGAUUUGUGAGAAAAUGGAUACAGAAGGAUUGGUUUGUAAUUCGGCUUUUAGUCUAUAACUGGUUCAAAAUCUAGAGUCUUUUUUUGUCAAUGGUGGGUGAUUAUGAGAGCAUAGAUAUCCAAAUACUUAUUAUGUGGGAUAAAAGAUGGAUAGGUUAGGGCAAGAAUAGCCAGGGGUAAGAAAGUUUAUGGUGAGGAAGAACUCCGUGUUGGAUGGCAAUGCAUCAAAAGAUCCAGUUUAACUUCUCUCCUUCCUUGACGAGGUUGAGCUUUUCCCUCUUGAGCAUGGGUGUCUCCAAGAGGUUAAGAUAGAUCAGUAGGUUAUAGCUAGGUAGAGGGUUUAGUAGGUGGCUAUAUGAUAGUUGGGAUUAGUUAUAUAACCAAUUAUGUAGGUCAAGUUGUUUGUGUAUGGCUAAGUCGAUCUAAGUCACCAAUUUAGACUUAAGUGAAUUAGGAGUAUGGCCGAGUUGAUCUAAGAUCUCAAACUGGUUUAUAGGAGCAGGGUCUAAUGUAUUUACUCAGCAUUAACCAAUCCUAUUUGAGUGACUUCCAAUAGGCUUGAUCAUAAUAAAUUAGAUAGGAUUGGGUAUGACUAGAAUAGACUAGAUUAGAUCAUGGUUGCUACAAUAGUGUGGAAUAAAUAUGUCUAUUAGGGCAAGAUGAAUCCAUAUGGAUAAGUUAGAAUCUUUUGAGGUCAGUUAGAUCUAUUAGGAUGAGAUAAAAUACUUUCAAGAUAAGAUGAGUCUAUUAAGAUAAGAGAGAAUCUUGUAGAUAAGAUGGAUAUAUUAAACUAGAUAUAUUUUAAUGGGGGUAUUCUUAGUUUGUAUAGUCAUCUUAUGUUUUUAUAUAUAUUUAUGCCUAUACGUAUAUGUAGAUGUAAUUGUGGACAUUACUCCACAACCAUCACACUCAAUCAAAGAUCCAAAUCAAACAAGUAUCAUAAGAACAAACAUUGAAGCACAUAGAUACCUACAAAAAUAGUUUUGUUUUUGUUCCUAAGAGUAGGUCUCCUAUUCCCAAAAGUCACUUUAGAUACACGAUUUCAAAGUGUGAAAUCAACAUUUGUCUUUUAGAAAGAAAAGGUAAGAAUAAUCAGAGUAAAGCGGAAAUAGAUGAGAAAAGAUUAAGGUAAGUUUAGAAAAGAAUCAGAGUAGUAAAGGUAACUAGAUAAUGGUUUUGUCCAUUUCUAUCUAGGUUUCGUCCUACAGUCAACAUUCCUCUGAUACCACUUCUGUCACACCCGGAUUUUAGGGGUUCAAAACCCGGGCGCGAACAUAAUCACUAGGUGUGCUGGGACCAAGUCUCACACAUAUGAUGAAUCAUGGCACAGGAUCGAAUGUCACAUCUUUACUAUAUAACAGGAAUUCUAUACAAAAUAAAUAAUUACAUUAUAAGGAGACAACAGUCCAGCAACCCAAAGUUGACUGGGAGACGACGGCCUAGAUCCCUCACGAACACAUCGUAGCAUCCUCCAUGCGCCUCAUCCAGUGGUACCUGUUCUUGACCUGUGGGGGGUGUGAGACAGCAAGAGUGAGCUCACAUACGUUCAUCGCUCAACAAGUUGUGGGGAAUAAUGUGCAUGAACUCGCCAAAGGCGGGAGCUCACGUGAAGUGUAAGGCUUACCAAAGAAGAUGGUUGAAGCUAAGCAUUGCUUUUAAAGUUGGUCAAAAUUUUAUUAGCAAUUACUAAGUAUAAGUAAAUACCAGCCCAAUUAAUAUAGUAGAACAGAAGUAACAACAUCACCUGCUAUGCAAUGCAUAUGACAAAUUGAAUUUAAGUUCCAUAAAUUAAUCAUGUGAGUGUCCGAGCCGCUCAUGACCGUGAGCACGGCUAGUAUACCAGUUUUACACUCUGCAGAGGUUGCGCAUCUUUACCCACAAGUCAUGUUACCCAUCUGCCAAGGGAUCGCGACUUCCCAUACACCUCUACCGAGGAGGCGAGGCAGGGUAACACUACGAGGCCUUUACAAAGUUCCACUAGCUUCAGAAAACCCGCUACAGUUUAUAGGAAGCUCCAAUGCAGGAAUCCCUUGCAGGACCGCCAUCGCAGCAAAAUCCUCCCGAGGGCCUCCCUACACUGACCACUCCCCUACUGCCCUUGCCCCUUUCGGGUAAGGUAGUCUUCCACUAGCUUUCCUAAUUAAUCAGCCAAGGGGUCCCAUUCCUCCCUUGUGGUAGCACUGUUUUCCCGGGUGGUUCUCCAUGUUCCAAUUAACAUAAUGAUCUUAACAUGAACAAUAAAUAAUAACUGAUAACAAAAGUAUAAUCAUGAAUAGUGUAAUCUUCAUACCCAAAACCACAUAAAGCACUAGCAAGUACUACCCAAAAAGUUCAGUGGUAAACAAGGUAUAAAGAUAGUCAAAGCUAGGGUAACCUAUUAGGUCCCAUCAAAAUUAACCUAUGCAGAUCAUUAUGAUUAAUUAGAACAUGAGUGGGUAAAAAGAAGUGAUCAAGGGCACAACUUGCCUGGGACUUGAGAUUUCAGGUACCAACUUGCUCUUCAGAUGACACGUGACCUCACGCUAGUCGUAGCAAUACAAACAAGCCGUGUAUAGGCAAAAUUAACAUCACACCAAACAUGUAAACAAAAUAUAUAAUAAUAAUCUACUCAUUAAAAUAAGAUUCUAGGAACAGAAAUCAUUAAUUUUGGAGUUACGGAUUCUAAGUUAUGAAUUUCUGAAGUUAAUAAGCAUCUAGAAUAGAUUAAUCCAAAUGAAUAAUUUAAAUUUAAGUUUUAUGGUUAAACAAUGUUACUAGUUGAUAGACAAUGUUAAUACAAAAUUAUUGCAACUGGAAUUACUCAAUUUGGAGUUAAAAUGAAUUAACUAUGAAUUUCACAAGUUUCUGGCAUUUAUUUUCACAUUAAAAAUCAUUUUCUAUUUAUUUUUACUGGGUUUCCUAAUUCUCUGGACUGGGCACACAAAACCAGAGGAGCACAGGGUUUAAUUUAUAAGAUUUCCUAGACUCAGAAUUCACCCGCGCGGACGGCGGGUUUGUUUUACUAAAACCGCAGGGGUUCUUUUGUAAGUUAUCCUGGUGAAGGGGUAUGGCUGGCUCUCAGCCACAAGAUUAGAUUUGGAUGGCCCAGAUCGAUCCCGAGCCCAUAAUCUACGUAGACCGCUCGAUCGAAGAUCAAUGACCCGCGAUGCAUCAUCACUUCAAUUUCCCUUGCUCUUAACCUUCACCGUCCGAUCAUUACCGAGCGCCCCAGAUUCAAUGGUUAAAAGCGUUCUCAUACCCCCAGCCCGAGCCGCGGUGGCGCACAGGGACAAUACGGCGGCGCGCCAUGGUCGGGUACUAGCACCGCCGCAUACAACCGCCCAAACCUCAGCCCAAGAAUUGCCCCACGAAGAGUAUAUCACGUGCGGUUAGGCAAGGGGUACUAUACCGGUGAUGGAUCGGUGCUGAGGGCCGACGACGGGUUUUGGCGGCUCCGUGGAGGGUUCACGACACCGACGAGCAAUCCCAGCAUCCCCAUCGCCACACGCAGCCCCGCGAUGUCAUGGAAUAGGUCCCUGGAACCGGACGAGGACCCACGGCCCGAGCCGGAUGCCGCAACGACGAUGAAUCGGAGCCUUUAUAGUGGUGGAUCUCUGGCAUCGAAGUCCCCUUGGUGAGAAAUUGUGCAGCCACCGGUUCACAGUCCCACCAGGCGAGGCCGUGAUAGACAUCCUGGUGGACCCAGCCAUCCCCACGGCCCGCCCCCGAGGGAUCGACAUCGGCGAGCCGGAGUUUUCCCCCAUGGCGGACAUGAUUCUCUCACUUCCUCCCAUGAUGGUCGGGUAUGGAGGAUUAGAAGUCAGGUGCUAGCUCGAUGGAAGGAAGGGGGGGUACCGGGACGCAUCAUAUAGGGCCGAGG
rnacentral:lncRNA from 1 species